rnacentral:rRNA from 1 species
GACGGUUUCGGCUGUCACUUACAGAUGGACCCGCGGCGCAUUAGCUAGUUGGUGGGGUAAUGGCUCACCAAGGCGACGAUGCGUAGCCGACCUGAGAGGGUGAUCGGCCACACUGGGACUGAGACACGGCCCAGACUCCUACGGGAGGCAGCAGUAGGGAAUCUUCCGCAAUGGACGAAAGUCUGACGGAGCAACGCCGCGUGAGUGAUGAAGGUUUUCGGAUCGUAAAGCUCUGUUGUUAGGGAAGAACAAGUGCGAGAGUAACUGCUCGCACCUUGACGGUACCUAACCAGAAAGCCACGGCUAACUACGUGCCAGCAGCCGCGGUAAUACGUAGGUGGCAAGCGUUGUCCGGAAUUAUUGGGCGUAAAGGGCUCGCAGGCGGUUUCUUAAGUCUGAUGUGAAAGCCCCCGGCUCAACCGGGGAGGGUCAUUGGAAACUGGGAAACUUGAGUGCAGAAGAGGAGAGUGGAAUUCCACGUGUAGCGGUGAAAUGCGUAGAGAUGUGGAGGAACACCAGUGGCGAAGGCGACUCUCUGGUCUGUAACUGACGCUGAGGAGCGAAAGCGUGGGGAGCGAACAGGAUUAGAUACCCUGGUAGUCCACGCCGUAAACGAUGAGUGCUAAGUGUUAGGGGGUUUCCGCCCCUUAGUGCUGCAGCUAACGCAUUAAGCACUCCGCCUGGGGAGUACGGUCGCAAGACUGAAACUCAAAGGAAUUGACGGGGGCCCGCACAAGCGGUGGAGCAUGUGGUUUAAUUCGAAGCAACGCGAAGAACCUUACCAGGUCUUGACAUCCUCUGACAACCCUAGAGAUAGGGCUUUCCCUUCGGGGACAGAGUGACAGGUGGUGCAUGGUUGUCGUCAGCUCGUGUCGUGAGAUGUUGGGUUAAGUCCCGCAACGAGCGCAACCCUUGAUCUUAGUUGCCAGCAUUUAGUUGGGCACUCUAAGGUGACUGCCGGUGACAAACCGGAGGAAGGUGGGGAUGACGUCAAAUCAUCAUGCCCCUUAUGACCUGGGCUACACACGUGCUACAAUGGACAGAACAAAGGGCUGCAAGACCGCAAG